GCGAGAGACGCAGAGGCAUGAAAAGAGCAGAGGGGACAUCCAGGUUGUUCAGAGACGGAGAUCCUUGGGGUUUUGACACUUGUCACUUACUUGAUAAAAGCUUUCCAACUUAUUUUUAUGCACAUCGGAUCAUAUUGCGAUACACUCUCUCUAUUAAGACUGGCAAAUUAAAACAGCAAUAGAGUCCUUAAUCAUAAAUUAUUUCCUGGGGUAAAAUCCUAACAAGUUCAACCUCUAAAAAAAGCUCAACAACUUUGGGGUAAUACCAUAAAAAAAGCUCAACAACUUCAAUCCUAAAAAAAGGCCCUCUUUGAAAAAAGUUUGGACACCACCACUGCAAGUUUAAACAAAACAAGAGCCAAGCAGAUCUAUCCUGUUUCCACUUGCGGCUUUAAUUUAAUCCCAUGAUCGACCAAGAUCAAUCCCACGAUCUACUGGUCAAUCGUGAUGGACUGGUUGGACAUGCCUGAAAAUUUUAGACCACAGUGCUACCUACCUGCAUCCCUGGAGAUUGCCUAGGAUAGGCCAUUAAGGAGAACAAAGGGGAAAUGAUGAGCCAUUAGGUAUGCCAGAGAGAGAGGCCCCUCCUUCAGCACAGAGUUAGUUAGAAGGCAAAAGGAAGGAGUUUCAGAGAGUUUAGGCUUGGGUUUUUUCAGAAAUGUUGCAGUCUGUAAAAAUCAUCAAGCUGGAGAGAGGGUCACAGCCACGUUUUGGAGCAUGUUUGAUUUCUGUUUGAACCCUAUGCUGCAAUUAUGGGAAAAGCAAGAAUAUUGUGGGGUGUCAAUGCUGUAAACUCCAUUGUAGUCUUAUAUGUGUGUGUAAAUAAACCAUAUAUCCUAAAGACA